CAGAGGUUCGAUCAUCGGCUCAGAUUGAACGUUGGCGGGAUGCUUUACAUGCAAGUCGAACAGCACGGACUUCGGUCUGGUGGCGAAGGUGGCGAACGGGUGAGUAAUGUAUCGGAACGUGCCUAAUGUGAGGGGAUAACUACGUGAAAGCGUAGCUAAUACCGCAUACGCCCUUCGGGGGAAAGCGGGGGACCUUCGGGCCUCGCACUAUUAGAGCAGCCGAUAUCGGAUUAGCUAGUUGGUGGGGUAACGGCUCACCAAGGCGACGAUCCGUAGCUGGUUUGAGAGGACGACCAGCCACACUGGGACUGAGACACGGCCCAGACUCCUACGGGAGAGCAGCAGUGGGGUACAUGGACAAUGGAAACCUGAUCCAGCCAUCCCGCGUGUGCGAUGAAGGCCUUCAGGUUGUAAAGCACUUUUGGCAGGAAAACGGCACGGGAUAAUACCCCGUGCAACUGACAAUGCCUGCAGAAUAAGCACCGGCUAACUACGUGCCAGCCGCGGUAAUACGUAGGGUGCAAGCGUUAAUCGGAAUUACUGGGCGUAAAGCGUGCGCAGGCGGUUCGGAAAGAAGAUGUGAAAUCCCAGAGCUUAACUUUGGAACUGCAUUUUUAACUACCGAGCUAGAGUGUGUCGGAGGAGGUGGAAUUCCCGCGAUGUGUAGCAGUGAAAUGCGUAGAUAUGCGGAGGAACACCGAUGGCGAAGGCAGCCUCCUGGGAUAACACUGACGCUCAUGCACGAAAGCGUGGGAGCAAACAAGUUAGAUACCUGGUAGUCCACGCCCUAAACGAUGUCAACUAGCUGUUGGGGCCUUCGGGCCUUGGUAGCGCAAUAACGCGUGAAAGUUGACCGCCUGGGGAGUACGGUCGCAAGAUUAAAACUCAAAGGAAUUGACGGGGACCCGCACAAGCGGUGGAUGAUGUGGAUUAAUUCGAUGCAACGCGAAAAACCUUACCUACCCUUGACAUGUCUGGAAUCCCGAAGAGAUUUGGGAGUGCUCGCAAGAGAACCGGAACACAGGUGCUGCAUGGCUGUCGUCAGCUCGUGUCGUGAGAUGUUGGGUUAAGUCCCACAACGAGCGCAACCCUUGUCAUUAGUUGCUACGAAGGGCACUCUAAUGAGACUGCCGGUGACAAACCGGAGGAAGGUGGGGAUGACGUCAAGUCCUCAUGGCCCUUAUGGGUAGGGCUUACACGUCAUACAAUGGUCAGGGACAGGGUCGCCAACCCGCGAGGGCCAAUCCCAGAAACCCGAUCGUAGUCCGGAUCGCAGUCUGCAACUCGACUGCGUGAGUCGGAAUCGCUAGUAAUCGCGGAUCAGCAUGUCGCGGUGAAUACGUUCCGGGUCUUGUACACACCGCCCGUCACACCAUGGGAGUGGGUUUUGCAGAAGUAGUUAGCCUAACCGUAAGGAGGGCGAUUACCACGGUAGGAUUGUGACUGGGGUGAAGUCGUAACAAAGGUAA
rnacentral:rRNA from 1 species